CCUACGGGUGGCAGCAGUGAGGAAUAUUGGUCAAUGGACGAGAGUCUGAACCAGCCAAGUAGCGUGAAGGAUGACUGCCCUAUGGGUUGUAAACUUCUUUUAUAUGGGAAUAAAACGUUCCACGUGUGGGAUUUUGUAUGUACCAUAUGAAUAAGUAUCGGCUAACUCCGUGCCAGCAGCCGCGGUAAUACGGAGGCUCCGAGCGUUAUCCGGAUUUAUUGGGUUUAAAGGGCGCGUAGGUGGAUUGUUAAGUCAGUUGUGAAAGUUUGCGGCUCAACCGUAAAAUUGCAGUUGAAACUGGCAGUCUUGAGUACAGUAGAGGUGGGCGGAAUUCGUGGUGUAGCGGUGAAAUGCUUAGAUAGCACGAAGAACUCCGAUUGCGAAGGCAGUUCACUGGACUGCAACUGACACUGAGGCUCGAAAGUGUGGGUAUCAAACAGGAUUAGAUACCCCAGUAGUC
rnacentral:rRNA from 1 species